UACAGAGGUCUCAAGCGUUGUUCGGAUUCAUUGGGCGUAAAGGGUGCGUAGGCGGCGAGGCAAGUCAGGUGUGAAAUCUCGGGGCUCAACUCCGAAACUGCACUUGAUACUGCCUUGCUAGAGUACUGGAGAGGAGAUUGGAAUUUACGGUGUAGCAGUGAAAUGCGUAGAUAUCGUAAGGAAGACCAGUGGCGAAGGCGAAUCUCUGGACAGUUGCUGACACUGAGGCGCGACAGCGUGGGGAGCAAACAGG
rnacentral:rRNA from 1 species